GUUUGAUCCUGGCUCAGGAUGAACGCUGGCGGCGUGCUUAACACAUGCAAGUCGAACGAUGAUCCGGUGCUUGCACCGGGGAUUAGUGGCGAACGGGUGAGUAACACGUGAGUAACCUGCCCUUGACUCUGGGAUAAGCCUGGGAAACUGGGUCUAAUACCGGAUAUGACUCCUCAUCGCAUGGUGGGGGGUGGAAAGCUUUUGCGGUUUUGGAUGGACUCGCGGCCUAUCAGCUUGUUGGUGAGGUAAUGGCUCACCAAGGCGACGACGGGUAGCCGGCCUGAGAGGGUGACCGGCCACACUGGGACUGAGACACGGCCCAGACUCCUACGGGAGGCAGCAGUGGGGAAUAUUGCACAAUGGGCGAAAGCCUGAUGCAGCGACGCCGCGUGAGGGAUGACGGCCUUCGGGUUGUAAACCUCUUUCAGUAGGGAAGAAGCGAAAGUGACGGUACCUGCAGAAGAAGCGCCGGCUAACUACGUGCCAGCAGCCGCGGUAAUACGUAGGGCGCAAGCGUUAUCCGGAAUUAUUGGGCGUAAAGAGCUCGUAGGCGGUUUGUCGCGUCUGCCGUGAAAGUCCGGGGCUCAACUCCGGAUCUGCGGUGGGUACGGGCAGACUAGAGUGAUGUAGGGGAGACUGGAAUUCCUGGUGUAGCGGUGAAAUGCGCAGAUAUCAGGAGGAACACCGAUGGCGAAGGCAGGUCUCUGGGCAUUAACUGACGCUGAGGAGCGAAAGCAUGGGGAGCGAACAGGAUUAGAUACCCUGGUAGUCCAUGC
rnacentral:rRNA from 1 species